GCUCAGUUGCUAGAGCAUGGCGCUUGCAAUGCUAGGGUUGUGGGUUCAAUUCCCAU
rnacentral:tRNA from 1 species